rnacentral:rRNA from 1 species
GUGGGGAAUAUUGGACAAUGGGCGAAAGCCUGAUCCAGCCAUGCCGCGUGUGUGAAGAAGGUCUUCGGAUUGUAAAGCACUUUAAGUUGGGAGGAAGGGCAGUAAGUUAAUACCUUGCUGUUUUGACGUUACCGACAGAAUAAGCACCGGCUAACUUCGUGCCAGCAGCCGCGGUAAUACGAAGGGUGCAAGCGUUAAUCGGAAUUACUGGGCGUAAAGCGCGCGUAGGUGGUUUUGUAAGUUGGAGGUGAAAUCCCGGGGCUCAACCUGGGAACUGCCUCCAAAACUGCAUGACUAGAGUACGGUAGAGGGUAGUGGAAUUUCCUGUGUAGCGGUGAAAUGCGUAGAUAUAGGAAGGAACACCAGUGGCGAAGGCGACUACCUGGACUGAUACUGACACUGAGGUGCGAAAGCGUGGGGAGCAAACAGGAUUAGAAACCCUGGUAGUCC